UAGUUGUUAAACUUAAUUUUUUUGGCGGUUCCCUAACCUACCACAGGAAUUUGUUGAUUUUGAUGGAUAACCCGCUUUUAUUUUUUCCUUUGUUAAUUUUAUGUACGGCUGUUUUUAUUUUAAUCUAAAUUUUUUUAUUAAAAAUUUGUCUUUUAUUUCAGGUCUAUGUGUAGGGUAUACAGAGGUUUUCAAUGAAUUACUAUUUUAUGAAUAAAUCUUUAAUUAUUUUUAUAAUGUGGAUGUGGGAGUAAAUUUAUUAAUAAAAUUUUACAUUGAAAAGGUUUUGGUGAAAGUACAUAUCGCCCGUCACUCUUGUUUAAAG
rnacentral:rRNA from 1 species